rnacentral:rRNA from 1 species
UACGAGGGGGGCAAGCGUUGUUCGGAAUUAUUGGGCGUAAAGGGUGCGUAGGCGGUCUGACAAGUCUGAUGGGAAAUCUAUGGGCUCAACCCAUAGUCUGCAUCGGAAACUGUCGGGCUGGAGUAUGGGAGAGGUGAGUGGAAUUUCCGGUGUAGCGGUGAAAUGCGCAGAUAUCAGGAAGAACACCAAUGGCGAAGGCAGCUCUCUGGGACGGUACUGACACUGAGACGCGAAAGCGUGGGGAGCGAACAGG